AACGAACGCUGGCGGCAUGCCUAACACAUGCAAGUCGAACGAGAUCUUCGGGUCUAGUGGCGCACGGGUGCGUAACGCGUGGGAAUCUGCCCUUUGGUUCGGAAUCACAGUUGGAAACGACUGCUAAUACCGGAUGAUGACGAAAGUCCAAAGAUUUAUCGCCAGAGGAUGAGCCCGCGUAGGAUUAGCUAGUUGGUGUGGUAAAGGCGCACCAAGGCGACGAUCCUUAGCUGGUCUGAGAGGAUGAUCAGCCACACUGGGACUGAGACACGGCCCAGACUCCUACGGGAGGCAGCAGUGGGGAAUAUUGGACAAUGGGCGAAAGCCUGAUCAAGCAAUGCCGCGUGAGUGAUGAAGGCCUUAGGGUUGUAAAGCUCUUUUACCCGGGAUGAUAAUGACAGUACCGGGAGAAUAAGCUUCGGCUAACUCCGUGCCAGCCGCCGCCGUAA
rnacentral:rRNA from 1 species